GCGAAAGUGGCGGAACUGGUAGACGCGCUGGACUUAGAAUCCAGUGGCCGAAAGGUUGUAGGGGUUCGAAUCCCCUCUUUCGCACCA
rnacentral:tRNA from 1 species